CAACUGCAAGGAGUGAGAUAUUUCUCAAAAAGUGAUCUACGCUCGGGGUAUCAUUAAUUAAGAGUUCGAAAAGAGGAUGUACCAAAGACUGCAUUCUGUACGAGUUGAUCCGCGGAACUCUCAGAUGUUAUUACAUGGAAGCGGGUCCACACGCUCUUUAUUUCUACACCUUCUCGAGAGUGGUAUCUCUUUGGGUUUUCAUAUAAGUAAUCCGUUCUAGUGCACUAUUCAGCACCUCGAGAUUUGGCUACAACCUAGGUAAUGGCAUCUUUUAGACUUCUACUCCGAGUAGCUCCGCUGCCUAGAGGUUGAGUUGUGUUGAAUAGUUAGGCUUAUAAUGAUUAAUAGUUUAUUGGUAAUGUAUGUGCUAAAGCUUAAGGUUAUGUAAUGAUUAAUACAUAUCAUGUUGAAUUUGUAUGGAAUUAUCAACCUAGUUAUUAGUGUCUAGAAGCCACGUUUAAAUAUUGUGAAUAUCUAGUUUACAUGAAUUAUGGCGUUAAAAUUGUAAAUUGAGUUUAAAUUGUUUGAGGGUUUAACUAAGGCUUGU